rnacentral:pre_miRNA from 1 species
CAAAUACUCCCUCUGUCCGGAAAUACUUGUCAUCAAAAUGGAUAAAAGGAAAUGUAUCUAGACGUAUUUUAGUUUUAGAUACAUCUCUUUUUAUCCAUUUUGAUG